CACGAGAAAAAUGGUUUGAUGUUGUGACUCGGGAAGUCACAGGACAUCAUUCUGCGGUGCUCCAGAAGAAGCUCUUGAAGCUCGAGUUCACUACGCUCUUUGAGUACCUCCAAAUUUAGAGAUUGUUAGAGCUGCCAUGAAACCAGUUGGCAGGCAUGCUAUGUUUUACUUUGCAGCGGCUGUCUCCGACUUCUACAUCCCCUGGAACUCCAUGGUAAGAACUUCUCGUCUUCU